rnacentral:rRNA from 1 species
GUCCAGACUCCUACGGGAGGCAGCAGUGGGGAAUAUUGCACAAUGGGGGAAACCCUGAUGCAGCGACGCCGCGUGAGUGAAGAAGUAUUUCGGUAUGUAAAGCUCUAUCAGCAGGGAAGAAAAUGACGGUACCUGACUAAGAAGCCCCGGCUAACUACGUGCCAGUAGCCGCGGUAAUACGUAGGGGGCAAGCGUUAUCCGGAUUUACUGGGUGUAAAGGGAGCGUAGACGGCAUGGCAAGUCAGAUGUGAAAGCCCGGGGCUCAACCCCGGGACUGCAUUUGAAACUGUCAGGCUGGAGUGCAGGAGAGGUAAGUGGAAUUCCUAGUGUAGCGGUGAAAUGCGUAGAUAUUAGGAGGAACACCAGUGGCGAAGGCGGCUUACUGGACUGUAACUGACGUUGAGGCUCGAAAGCGUGGGGAGCAAACAGGAUUAGAUACCCCCGUAAA